rnacentral:rRNA from 1 species
CCUACGGGUGGCAGCAGUGGGGAAUAUUGCACAAUGGGGGAAACCCUGAUGCAGCGACGCCGCGUGAGUGAAGAAGUAUUUCGGUAUGUAAAGCUCUAUCAGCAGGGAAGAAGAAAGACGGUACCUGACUAAGAAGCCCCGCCUAACUACGUGCAAGCAGCCGCGGUACUACGUAGGGGGCAAGCGUUAUCCGGAUUUACUGGGUGUAAAGGGGGCGCGGGCGGCGAUGCAAGCCAGGAGUGAAAGCCCGGGGCCCACCCCCGGGACUGCUCUUGGAACGGCGUGGCUGGAGUGCAGGAGGGGCAGGCGGAAUUCCUGGUGUAGCGGUGAAAUGCGUAGAUAUCAGGAGGAAAACCGGUGGCGAAAGCGGCCUGCUGGACUGCAACUGACGUUGAGGCCCGAAAGCGUGGGGGGCAAACAGGAUUAGAUACCCUUGUAGUC